rnacentral:rRNA from 1 species
AGUGAACGCUGGCGGUAGGCCUAACACAUGCAAGUCGAACGGCAGCACAGUAAGAGCUUGCUCUUACGGGUGGCGAGUGGCGGACGGGUGAGGAAUACAUCGGAAUCUACUUUUUCGUGGGGGAUAACGUAGGGAAACUUACGCUAAUACCGCGUACGACCUACGGGUGAAAGCAGGGGAUCUUCGGACCUUGCGCGAUUGAAUGAGCCGAUGUCGGAUUAGCUAGUUGGCGGGGUAAAGGCCCACCAAGGCGACGAUCCGUAGCUGGUCUGAGAGGAUGAUCAGCCACACUGGAACUGAGACACGGUCCAGACUCCUACGGGAGGCAGCAGUGGGGAAUAUUGGACAAUGGGCGCAAGCCUGAUCCAGCCAUACCGCGUGGGUGAAGAAGGCCUUCGGGUUGUAAAGCCCUUUUGUUGGGAAAGAAAAGCAGUAGGUUAAUACCCCGCUGUUCUGACGGUACCCAAAGAAUAAGCACCGGCUAACUUCGUG